rnacentral:rRNA from 1 species
GAGUUUGAUCCUGGCUCAGAACGAACGCUGGCGGCGUGCUUAACACAUGCAAGUCGAACGUGAUCCAGAGCUUGCUCUGGUGAAAGUGGCGCACGGGUGAGUAACGCGUGGAUAACCUGCCCUGGUAUCUGGGAUAACAUCUCGAAAGGGGUGCUAAUACCGGAUAAGCCUACGGGAUCUUCGGAUUCUGCAGGAAAAGGAGGCCUCUAUUUAUAAGCUUCCGUAUCAUGAUGGGUCCGCGUACCAUUAGCUAGUUGGUGGGGUAAUGGCCUACCAAGGCGACGAUGGUUAGCUGGUCUGAGAGGAUGAUCAGCCACACUGGAACUGAGACACGGUCCAGACUCCUACGGGAGGCAGCAGUGGGGAAUUUUGCGCAAUGGGGGAAACCCUGACGCAGCAACGCCGCGUGAGUGAUGAAGGCUUUCGGGUCGUAAAGCUCUGUCAGAGGGGAAGAAAUGAGUCUGGCUAAUAUCCAGAUUUCUUGACGGUACCCUCAAAGGAAGCACCGGCUAACUCCGUGCCAGCAGCCGCGGUAAUAC